rnacentral:rRNA from 1 species
GACGAACGCUGGCGGCGUGCCUAAUACAUGCAAGUAGAACGCAGUUGCGCACGGGUGAGUAACGCGUAGGUAACUGCCUCAUAGCGGGGGAUCACUAUUGGAAACGAUAGAUAAUACCGCCUACUGUUAGCUGGACCUGCGUUGUAUUAGGUAGUUGGUGAGGGAAAGGCUCACCAAGGCGACGAUACAUAGCCGACCUGAGAGGGAUAUCGACCACAAUGGGACUGAGACACGGCCCAGACCCCUACGGGGGGCAACAGUAGGGAAUCUUCGGCAAAGGGCGGAAGUCUGACCGAGCAACGCCGGCGUGGUGAAGAAGGUUUUCGGAUCUGAAAAGUCUGUUAUUAGAGAAGCGGUAACUAACCAGGAAGGGACGGCUAACUACGUGCCAGCAGCCGCGGUAAUAC